rnacentral:rRNA from 1 species
UACGUAGGGAGCGAGCGUUAUCCGGAUUCAUUGGGCGUAAAGCGCGCGUAGGCGGCCCGUCAAGCGGGGUUUCAAAUCCAGGGGCUCAACCUCUGGCCGGACCCCGAACUGGCGGGCUCGAGUGCGGUAGAGGAAGGUGGAAUUCCCAGUGUAGCGGUGAAAUGCGCAGAUAUUGGGAAGAACACCGAUGGCGAAGGCAGCCUUCUGGGCCGCCACUGACGCUGAGGCGCGAAAGCUAGGGGAGCGAACAGGAUUAGAUACCCUGGUAGUCCUAGCCGUAAACGAUGGGCACUAGGUGUGGGGGAGCAUCUCCUCCGUGCCGCAGCCAACGCAUUAAGUGCCCCGCCUGGGGAGUACGGCCGCAAGGCUAAA